CCUACGGGUGGCAGCAGUGAGGAAUAUUGGUCAAUGGACGGAAGCCUGAACCAGCCAUGUCGCGUGAAGGAUGACGGCCCUACGAGUUGUAAACUGCUUUUGUACAAGGGUAAACCUGAAUACGUGUGUUCUGCUGAAAGUACUGUACGAAUAAGGAUCGGCUAACUCCGUGCCAGCAGCCGCGGUAAUACGGAGGAUCCGAGCGUUAUCCGGAUUUACUGGGUGUAAAGGGCGAGUAGGCGGGUUUGCAAGUCAGUUGUGAAAACUAGGGGCUCAACCGAAAGAGUGCAAUUGAAACUGGAGGUCUUGAGUGAUGGAGAGGCAGGCGGAAUUCCCGGUGUAGCGGUGGAAUGCGUAGAUAUCGGGAGGAACACCAGUGGCGAAGGCAGCCUGCUAGACAGUAACUGACGCUGAGGCGCGAAAGCGUGGGGAGCAAACAGGAUUAGAUACCCGAGUAGUC
rnacentral:rRNA from 1 species